CUGGCGGCGUGCUUAACACAUGCAAGUCGAGCGAUGAAGCUUCUUCGGAAGUGGAUUAGCGGCGGACGGGUGAGUAACACGUGGGUAACCUGCCUCAUAGAGGGGAAUAGCCUUCCGAAAGGAAGAUUAAUACCGCAUAAGAUUGUAAUAUUGCAUGAUAUAGCAAUUAAAGGAGUAAUCCGCUAUGAGAUGGACCCGCGUCGCAUUAGCUAGUUGGUGAGGUAACGGCUCACCAAGGCGACGAUGCGUAGCCGACCUGAGAGGGUGAUCGGCCACAUUGGGACUGAGACACGGCCCAGACUCCUACGGGAGGCAGCAGUGGGGAAUAUUGCACAAUGGGGGAAACCCUGAUGCAAGCAACGCCGCGUGAGUGAUGACGGUCUUCGGAUUGUAAAGCUCUGUCUUCAGGGACGAUAAUGACGGUACCUGAGGAGGAAGCCACGGCUAACUACGUGCCAGCCGCCGC
rnacentral:rRNA from 1 species